rnacentral:rRNA from 1 species
CAAGAAAUGAUGAGGCAGCAAAAAGAAAUAGUUCAGCUAACCCUUACGGGUUGGUUGUUGCAAUGGGGGAUAUUUAAUUCCAUCCAAUAUCGAGUACCAAUUGAAGGACAAGUCUGGUGCCAGCACCCGCGGUAAUUCCAGCUUCAAUAGCGUAUUCCAACGCUGUUGCUGUUAAAGGGUUCGUAGUUGAAUUGAGGGCAGUUCAGGAGUUAACCUAAGUCCCCGCCUCCGGCGUGCGACCGGUUCUCUGUCUGUCCGUGAACAUCCGAAACGAAUACACGGGAACGUCUGCCUCCCAUUCUCGCAAGCAACGUUUGCGGGGGGCCGCCCGUGUUUUUACUGUAACUAAAAAAGCGCGACCAAAGCAGUCGUUCGACAUGAAUUUGAAAGCAUGGGAUAACAACGAAGCAGCCUACGGAGUUCCGUUUCGGCUUUUGUUGGUUUUAAAUCUCUGUGGGAGACUAUGGACUCGCAUGACAAGUGGCUCGGGGUUUCUAUCCCCACACCUCCGUUUCGUUUCGCCUUCGGGCGUGCGUUGCGGUUUGCGUGGUCCAGGAAUGAAGGAGGGUUGUUCGGGGGAGAACGUACUUGAGCGUGAGAGGUGAAAUUCUUAGACCGCUCAAAGACGAACUACAGCGAAGGCAUUCUCCAAGGAUACCUUCCUCAAUCAAGAACCAAAGUGUGGAGAUCGAAGAUGAUUAGAGACCAUUGUAGUCCACACCACAAACGAUGACCCCCACGAAUUGGGGAGUAUUGGGGUUUAAUGGUGUCAGUCUCCGGACUCUCAUCAUUACCCCAAAGAGAAUAAGAUUUACGUGCACAUUCCAUUCGGCCUUCGGCUACCAACGGGAAUAUCCUCAGCACG